rnacentral:rRNA from 1 species
UGACUCUCGGCAAUGGAUAUCUUGGCUCUUGCAUCGAUGAAGAGCGCAGCGAAAUGCGAUACGUGGUGUGAAUUGCAGAAUCCCGUGAACCAUCGAGUUUUUGAACGCAAGUUGCGCCCGAGGCCAAUUGGCUGAGGGC